UUUUAAUUUUCAGGUAUCAUUCUUCAUAGCCAUAUCAGUUUGUUAUACAAUUGGAAUCACCGUGCAGCAACUUUUUGUAUUUUCCUUGCUUUCCUCAUUUAUUUUUCUGCUUUGUUUUCAUUGACCUGGACCUAAAGGGAGGCUUAUGACUACUUUUAAGAAGAUUGUAAACCUCCGUUAAAAGAUAUAAUGUGUUUUCUACUUCAACCUCUGCUUAAGAGUGUUGGAUUCUGAACGGUUUUGGAAAUGGGACUGACAAACGAUGGCUGCGGCUGUGCAGAGCCAAGAUAAGAGGACGCUGAUGCAUAUGCUACCUAUGUGUGUGGAGCUGUAGAGAAACACAAAUUACCCGAGGAAAGAGUACUGCCUGCUUUGUAUGUUGCCUUCAUUCCUGAGAGGAGAAGAUAAUGAGCUAUUUGCCAAGAGCAGUGCAUGGCCAAAGGGGCUUCUGAGAUCAUCCAAGAAGUAUAGACCAGGAACAAUAGCUAUAAGGCCUUAGAAGGCAAUGGUGGACAUGUAGGAAGUGAUCAAUAAAUGCUCUUUGUUGAAUUGAGCAAUUUCAUGUCACAGUCA